AAGUGCAGUGUUCAGACCAAGUUCUGUCAUGUUAUUUGUGCUAGUAUUUGAGUGUUAUAUAAACAUUUUGGACAAUUGUUUCUGAAGUUUCCAUUGUUAUUUUUGGGUUUAUUCAUUUACAAAGGCUAUAGACAAAUCUCUGGCAUAUGUGUACAUAGUUAUCAAUCAACUGUGCAGUAGCAUGCAACUUAAAAAAGUUAUUUAUCUAUCUAUUUAUUGUUGGCUGCCCUGGGUCUUCAUUGCUACAUGCCAGCUUUCUCUAGUUGUGGCAAGCAGGGGCUACCCUUCAUUGUGGUGCAUGGGCUUUGCAGUGCAGUGACUUCUCUGUUGUGAAGCAUGGGCUCUAGGGACACUGGGCUCAGUCACUGUGGCACAUGGGUCUAGCUGCCCCACAGCCUAUGGAAUCUUCCUGGGCCAGGGGUUGAACCCAUGUUUCCUGAAUUGGCAAGUGGAUUCUUAGCCACUAGACCGCCAGGGAAGUCCCCCUUAUUACUUUUGUAAAGAAUUCGCUUCUAUUUGACCCAAUCAGAUGGAAUAUAUUUUAUUACAUAUAGUUCUCUUCUCUGGCCCUUGCCAGAGAUCAGGGUUUCUCUCACAAAAGGGAACAGUUGUCUAUGCCUUUGUUUUUCACAGUGCAGUCCAUACCACAAGCAAUGACAUCACCAGUCUAUACCACAAGCAAUGACACCACAGCAGAAUAUCAGGCUCCACUUUAGACCUACUGAAUUGGAAUUGACAUUUUAACAAGAUUCCCCAGGUCCAAAGUGUCCAUAGGCUUUGGAGAAGCAAACAAUGAUGGUGAAAGACAUUCUGGAAGGAAGGAUCAGAAGCAGCAAGGCUUGUAGUAAUUAUAGGCCCUUGGUCAUUGAUCUGGAUAUGAUAUGGUUUCAGGUAUGAUGAAAAUGAAAGAGAGUGAAAAAGUUGGCUUAAAGAUCAACAUUCAGAAAACUAAGAUCAUGGCAUCUGGUCCCAUCACUUCAUGGCAAAUAGAUGGGGAAACAGUAGAAACAGUGGCUGACUAUUUUUGGGGUGCUCCAAAAUCACUGCAGAUGGUGACUGCAGCCAUGAAAUGAAAAGGCGCUUACUCCUUGGAAGAAAAGUUAUGACCAACCUAGACAGCAUAUUAAAAAGCAGAGACAUUAUUUUGUCAACAAAUGUCUGUCUAGUCAAGGCUAUGGUUUUUCCAAUAAUCAUGUAUGGAUGUGAGAGUUGGACUAUAAAGAAAGCUGAGCACUGAAGAAUUGAUGCUUUUGAACUGUGGUGUUGGAGAAGACUCUUGAGAAUCACUUGGACGGCAAGGAGAUCCAACGAGUCCAUCCUAAAGGAAAUCAGUCCUGAAUAUUCAUUGGAAGGACUGAUGCUGAAGCUGAAACU
rnacentral:lncRNA from 1 species